AGCUUUGUGCAGUGGCAGUAUCGUAGCCAAUGAGGUUUAUCUGAGGCGCGAUAAUUGCUAAUUGAAAAAAAAGAAAAGAAAAGAAAAUGCCAAUGCCAUCUUGCCUGUUGUAGGAAAAACAGUUUUAUGUACUUCAGAAAAUUGU